rnacentral:rRNA from 1 species
AGCGCCACUGACGCUGAUGCUCGAAAGCGUGGGUAUCGAACAGGAUUAGAUACCCUGGUAGUCCACGCGGUAAACGAUGGAUGCUCGCUGUGUGCCUAUGAGGUACGUGGCCAAGGGAAACCAUUAAGCAUCCCACCUGGGGAGUACGCCGGCAACGGUGAAACUCAAAGGAAUUGACGGGGGCCCGCACAAGCGGAGGAACAUGUGGUUUAAUUCGAUGAUACGCGAGGAACCUUACCCGGGCUUGAACUGCAGGAGAACGAUACAGAGAUGUUGAGGUCCUUCGGGACUCCUGUGGAGGUGCUGCAUGGUUGUCGUCAGCUCGUGCCGUGAGGUGUCGGCUUAAGUGCCAUAACGAGCGCAACCCCUUUCGUUAGUUGCCAUCAGGUGAUGCUGGGCACUCUGGCGAUACUGCCACCGUAAGGUGUGAGGAAGGUGGGGAUGACGUCAAAUCAGCACGGCCCUUACGUCCGGGGCUACACACGUGUUACAAUGGCGCAUACAGAGAGUCGGUCCUGCGCAAGUAGGGUCUAAUCAGGAAAGUGCGUCGUAGUUCGGACUGGGGUCUGCAACCCGACCCCACGAAGCUGGAUUCGCUAGU